GCCACUCCCACAAACGUCUACGACCGCACCUACAUAGUUUUGCAUGUUUACAAUUCUAAUUUUGAACAGCCAAUCAGGUUCUUGGUAAUUGGCUGUUUAAAAUUAGAAUUGUAAACAUGCAAAAAUAUGUAGGCGCGGUCGUAGACGUUUGUGGGAGUGGU